rnacentral:rRNA from 1 species
UAGGGAAUCUUCGGCAAUGGGCGAAAGCCUGACGGAGCAACGCCGCGUGAGUGAAGAAGGUCUUCGGAUCGUAAAACUCUGUUAUUAGGGAAGAACAAAUGUGUAAGUAACUAUGCACGUCUUGACGGUACCUAAUCAGAAAGCCACGGCUAACUACGUGCCAGCAGCCGCGGUAAUACGUAGGUGGCAAGCGUUAUCCGGAAUUAUUGGGCGUAAAGCGCGCGUAGGCGGUUUUUUAAGUCUGAUGUGAAAGCCCACGGCUCAACCGUGGAGGGUCAUUGGAAACUGGAAAACUUGAGUGCAGAAGAGGAAAGUGGAAUUCCAUGUGUAGCGGUGAAAUGCGCAGAGAUAUGGAGGAACACCAGUGGCGAAGGCGACUUUCUGGUCUGUAACUGACGCUGAUGUGCGAAAGCGUGGGGAUCAAACAGG